rnacentral:rRNA from 1 species
AUUGAACGCUGGCGGCAUGCUUUACACAUGCAAGUCGAACGGCAGCGCGGGCUUCGGCCUGGCGGCGAGUGGCGAACGGGUGAGUAAUGCAUCGGAACGUGCCCAGUAGUGGGGGAUAGCCCGGCGAAAGCCGGAUUAAUACCGCAUACGACCUGAGGGUGAAAGCGGGGGACCGAAAGGCCUCGCGCUAUUGGAGCGGCCGCUGUCGGAUUAGCUAGUUGGUGGGGUAAAGGCUUACCAAGGCGACGAUCCGUAGCUGGUCUGAGAGGACGACCAGCCAAACUGGGACUGAGACACGGCCCAGACUCCUACGGGAGGCAGCAGUGGGGAAUUUUGGACAAUGGGGGCAACCCUGAUCCAGCCAUGCCGCGUGCGGGAAGAAGGCCUUCGGGUUGUAAACCGCUUUUGUUCGGGAAGAAAGCCUCUGGGCUAAUACCCCGGGGGGAUGACGGUACCGGAAGAAUAAGCACCGGCUAACUACGUG